AUUGAACGCUGGCGGCAGGCCUAACACAUGCAAGUCGAACGAGUGGCGGACGGGUGAGUAAUGUCUGGGAAACUGCCUGAUGGAGGGGGAUAACUACUGGAAACGGUAGCUAAUACCGCAUACCAUCGGAUGUGCCCGGAUGGGAUUAGCUAUUAGGUGGGGUAAAGGCUCACCUAGGAGAAGAUCCCUAGCUGGUCUGAGAGGAUGACCAGCAACACUGGAACUGAGAAACGGUCCAGAUUCCGACGGGGGGAAGCAGUGGGGAACAUUGGACAAUGGGCGAAAGCCUGAUGCAGCCAUGCCGCGUGUAUGAAGAAGGCCUUCGGGUUGUAAAGUACUUUCGGCGGGGAGGCGUUACCUGCAGAGAAAGCACCGGCUAACUACGUGCCAGCAGCCGCGGUAAUUC
rnacentral:rRNA from 1 species